rnacentral:misc_RNA from 1 species
GAUGAAGAACGUAGCGAAAUGCGAUACGUAAUGUGAAUUGCAGAAUUCAGUGAAUCAUCGAAUCUUUGAACGCAUAUUGCGCUCUCUGGUAUUCCGGAGAGCAUGCUUGUUUGAGUAUCAGUAAACACCUCAACUCCCUUUUCUUUUUUGAAAUUGGAGCUGGACUUGAGUGAUCCCAACGCUUUCUUCCAAGAAAGUGGCGGGUUGCUUGAAAUGCAGGUGCAGCUGAACUUUUCUCUGAGCUAUAAGCAUAUCUAUUUAGUCUGCCUAAAAAACAGAUUAUUACCUUUGCUGCAGCUAACAUAAAGGAGACUAGUUCUUGUGCUGACUGAUGCAGGAUUCACAGAGACAGCUUCGGCUGACUUUGUAAACUCGAUCUCAAAUCAAGUAAGACUACCCGCUGAACUUAAGCAUAUCAAUGAGCGGAGGA